rnacentral:rRNA from 1 species
UACGGAAGGCAGCAGUGGGGAAUAUUGCACAAUGGGCGCAAGCCUGAUGCAGCCAUGCCGCGUGUAUGAAGAAGGCCUUCGGGUUGUAAAGUACUUUCAGUCGUGAGGAAGGUGUUAAGGUUAAUAACCUUAGCAAUUGACGUUAGCGACAGAAGAAGCACCGGCUAACUCCGUGCCAGCAGCCGCGGUAAUACGGAGGGUGCGAGCGUUAAUCGGAAUUACUGGGCGUAAAGGGCACGCAGGCGGUUAAUUAAGUUGGAUGUGAAAUCCCCGGGCUUAACCUGGGAAUGGCAUUCAAGACUGGUUAGCUAGAGUCUUGUAGAGGGGGUUAGAAUUCCAUGUGUAGCGGUGAAAUGCGUAGAGAUGUGGAGGAAUACCGGUGGCGAAGGCGGCCCCUGGACAAAGACUGACGCUCAUGUGCGAAAGCG